rnacentral:rRNA from 1 species
GACGAACGCUGGCGGCAGGCUUAACACAUGCAAGUCGAGCGGGCAUAGCAAUAUGUCAGCGGCAGACGGGUGAGUAACGCGUGGGAACGUACCUUUUGGUUCGGAACAACACAGGGAAACUUGUGCUAAUACCGGAUAAGCCCUUACGGGGAAAGAUUUAUCGCCGAAAGAUCGGCCCGCGUCUGAUUAGCUAGUUGGUGAGGUAAUGGCUCACCAAGGCGACGAUCAGUAGCUGGUCUGAGAGGAUGAUCAGCCACAUUGGGACUGAGACACGGCCCAAACUCCUACGGGAGGCAGCAGUGGGGAAUAUUGGACAAUGGGCGCAAGCCUGAUCCAGCCAUGCCGCGUGAGUGAUGAAGGCCCUAGGGUUGUAAAGCUCUUUUGUGCGGGAAGAUAAUGACGGUACCGCAAGAAUAAGCCCCGGCUAACUUCGUGCCAGCCGCCGCAGUAA